GAUGAACGCUGGCGGCGUGCCUAAUACAUGCAAGUCGAGCGAACAGAUGAGGAGCUUGCUCCUCUGACGUUAGCGGCGGACGGGUGAGUAACACGUGGAUAACCUACCUAUAAGACUGGGAUAACUUCGGGAAACCGGAGCUAAUACCGGAUAAUAUAUUGAACCGCAUGGUUCAAUAGUGAAAGACGGUUUUGCUGUCACUUAUAGAUGGAUCCGCGCCGCAUUAGCUAGUUGGUAAGGUAACGGCUUACCAAGGCAACGAUGCGUAGCCGACCUGAGAGGGGGAUCGGCCACACUGGAGCGGAACCACGGUCCAGACUCCUACGGGAGGCAGCAGUAGGGAAUCUUCCGCAAUGGGCGAAAGCCUGACGGAGCAACGCCGCGUGAGUGAUGAAGGUCUUCGGAUCGUAAAGCUCUGUUAUUAGGGAAGAACAAAUGUGUAAGUAACUAUGCACGUCUUGACGGUACCUAAUCAGAAAGCCACGGCUAACUACGUG
rnacentral:rRNA from 1 species